CAAGAUCCUGACUUUGAUUUUACUCUAGCGAUAUCCUAUGAGAAAUCUUCAUUUUCUUCUUUCAAUUUCAGUCUUGCCUAUUGAAGAAACACUGCUCACUGCCUUUGUGAAGCACGUGGCUCUUUUGAGAUGUAGAUGAGUGACAAAUGGUAGCUUCUUAGCUGAUCUUUGUAUCUUUGGGACUUCUGUUUUGCUUGGGCCAAUUCAAAGACUUCCAUCAUACUGUAAUACUGUUUUGUAGAGACAUAAAAAUCACUGAAGUAUGAAUCAAGGUGUCAAAAUGCCUGCUGGGAGCCAUUCUGUGAGUAGAGUACAUGUCCAUAGAAGGGAUUAGCCUGACUAAGCACAAAAGAAUGGGCAGCACUACAAGUAGAUAGGAAUAGGCAGGGGGAAAUGGAAAAUGCAGAAUGGACACAGGCUUACAUUCACAUAUUCUUCUCACUUGUAAAUAUCAUAUGUGUACAAACACUAAUGAAAUUUUCAAUAAAAAUAAUUUGAAAAGAUUUCAACUUGUUAAUGAGAAAAAGCUGGCACUCAAGCAUGUAAACAAAUGAGUUUCCAACUGAACAUUUUGUGUUCAUAAUUUGAUGUCUUUGAAAAGAUUACCUGUAUUUCCUCCAAUUAAAUAAAUGUACCAGGAGUAUGGACUUAACAAUCCAAAUGCAAAUGUAGUUCAUAGAUUAUGAUUAUGAAGAUCUUUUAAAACAAUAUUACUUUCUUCAUUUAUUCUUUUGAAAUGAGAUCUGCUCUCACAAUAUAUGAAAUUAUUUUGUUUUUCCUAUUGCCUGCAGCAUCAAUGGAUCUUUUCCAUAUCAAGCUGCAACUUUAAACUUUGAAGUGAACUUACCUAACUGAUGCCUUGGGAAAUUACUUAUAAUAAUGAGGAAUACGUAUGUAUUGUCUCCACAUGGUCACUCCACAGCCAGAGACUGGAGGAAGAGAGUUUGAUUUUGUAUUUACUACUGGGUAAUUGUCAUAUAAACUUAAAGGAAAAUGGAGGAAAAAGGAAC
rnacentral:lncRNA from 1 species